CCUACGGGUGGCAGCAGUGGGGAAUAUUGGGCAAUGGGCGCAAGCCUGACCCAGCAACGCCGCGUGAAGGAAGAAGGCUUUCGGGUUGUAAACUUCUUUUCUCAGGGACGAAGAAAGUGACGGUACCUGAGGUAUACGCCACGGCUAACUACGUGCCAGCAGCCGCGGUAAUACGUAGGUGGUAAGAGUUAUCCGGAUUUACUGGGUGUAAAGGGCGUGUAGGCGGGACUGCAAGUCAGAUGUGAAUACCACGGGCUCAACCUGUGGACUGCAUUUGAAACUGUAGUUCUUGAGUACUGGGGAGGCAGACGGAAUUCCUAGUGUAGCGGUGAAAUGCGUAGAUAUUAGGAGGAACACCAGUGGCGAAGGCGGUCUGCUGGACAGCAACUGACGCUGAGGCGCGAAAGCGUGGGGAGCAAACAGGAUUAGAUACCCGUGUAGUC
rnacentral:rRNA from 1 species